GCACCGGCUAACUACGUGCCAGCAGCCGCGGUAAUACGUAGGGUGCAAGCGUUGAAUCGGAAUUACUGGGCGUAAGAGCGUGUGUAGGCGGUUCGGAAAGAAAGAUGUGAAAUCCCAGGGCUAUAACCUAGAGAACUGCAUAUUUCUAACUGCCGAGCUAGAGUAUGUCAGAGGGGGGUAGAAUGUCACACGUGUAGCAGUGAAAUGCGUAGUAUAUGUGGAGGAAUACCGAUGGCGAAGGCAGCCCCCUGGGAUAAUACUGACGCUCAGACACGAAAGCGUGGGGAGCAAACAGGAUNGAGAUACCCUGGUAGUCCACGCCCUAAACGAUGUCAACUAGCUGUUGGGGCCGUUAGGCAUUAGUAGCGCAGCUAGCGCGUGAAG
rnacentral:rRNA from 1 species